CAGUAUUUUCUUUUUCUUUUCGAGAAUCAAGAGUACAGAGUACUUUAUUGAUAAAUGGAAACAAAACUACCAUCCAAAUCAUUAAACUUCCCAGUACCAGGUGGUGACUCAAGCCGCAACACUAGGUUCUACACCACUAUUUACUACUCACUCCGAUUCUAAGUUGUCGUCGAAAUAUUAUAUGUAUAUCGACGUUUUUUAAGAGCAAAUACAUUCAUAUUUGGUCAAAUUUGAAUCAAGAAUUUAAGAGACUACCAUGGUAAGUGAGCACGUGCAUGUCCUAGAUUGUUUCAGAACUAUUAUGUUGUUUACAUCUUCAGAAUUACUUUUGCACCAAAGAAGUACAUGAUCGUGAGUGCAUCUUGAAUAUAACGAAAAGGCACACACUUAUUGCCUAUAUAAAAAAAUGCAACGAUGUUAUACAGACCCGUGAUUUGUCGAAUUAAGAGUUGGAUAAAGAGGGCUUGAAGCCUUGACAAAUUUGGUGGCAACAAAGACCUCCCCACCUAAAAAGCACCUAAACGGGUCCAGAUUGCAGCCUCCUCCGAGUGAAAAAAGAAACAAAAAUUAAGUCCAUUUUGACUGGACAAAACAGACGCAUGAUGAGCAGAGAGGCUCCCUACCAAAAGAAGAAACUAAAACAUCUUUUGCGCAACACAAUCAUUUACAAGCUUACAUUCACAGACCGGGCCA
rnacentral:lncRNA from 1 species